GCAAAGUAGAGGCCAUCGGACGGGGUAAGGUGUGGGGGGCGGUCGGGGUCGUGAAGUAUGUGGCGUUAGUGGCGCGUAGGCUGGUUGUGGCGUCGGGAGUGAUAUCCGCGGGCUUAAGGCUGGGCGUGCUUGCGAUACGGGCAGGCGUGAGGCAUUCAGGGUAGAACGGAAUUCCUGGUGUAGCGGGGAAAUGCGCAGAUAUCAGGAGGAACACCGGUGGCGAAGGCGGUUCUCUGGGAAUGUUCUGACGCUGAGGAGCGAAAGUGUGGGGAGCGAACAGGAUUAGAUACCCUUGUAGUC
rnacentral:rRNA from 1 species